CCUCCAGUUCUUGACAUGCCUGUGUCUGUCUGUGGCCUGUGCAUGUGUGUGUAAGAGAGGGAGAGUAAUCUCAGUGCUAAAGUCUUCGGUACCAGUGAGCUGCCAUCUUCUGGUCCUAUCCUCAUAGGCUGAGACAAAC